rnacentral:rRNA from 1 species
CCUACGGGGGGCAGCAGUCGAGAAUCAUUCACAAUGGGGGUAACCCUGAUGGUGCGACGCCGCGUGGGGGAAUGAAGGUCUUCGGAUUGUAAACCCCUGUCAUGUGGGAGCAAAUUAAAAAGAUAGUACCACAAGAGGAAGAGACGGCUAACCCUGUGCCAGCAGCCGCGGUAAUACAGAGGGCUCAAGCGUUGUUCGGAAUCACUGGGCGUAAGGCGUGCGUAGGCUGUUUCGUAAGUCGUGUGUGAAAGGCGCGGGCUCAACCCGCGGACGGCACAUGAUACUGCGAGACUAGAGUAAUGGAGGGGGAACCGGAAUUCUCGGUGUAGCAGUGAAAUGCGUAGAUAUCGAGAGGAACACUCGUGGCGAAGGCGGGUUCCUGGACAUUAACUGACGCUGAGGCACGAAGGCCAGGGGAGCGAAAGGGAUUAGAUACCCGUGUAGUC